rnacentral:rRNA from 1 species
GAUGAACGCUGGCUACAGGCUUAACACAUGCAAGUCGAGGGGAAACGGCAUUAAGUGCUUGCACUUUUUGGACGUCGACCGGCGCACGGGUGAGUAACGCGUAUCCAACCUUCCCAUGACUAAGGGAUAACCUGCCGAAAGGCAGACUAAUACCUUAUGGUCUUCACUGACGGCAUCAGAUGUGAAGUAAAGAUUUAUCGGUUAUGGAUGGGGAUGCGUCUGAUUAGCUUGUUGGCGGGGUAACGGCCCACCAAGGCAACGAUCAGUAGGGGUUCUGAGAGGAAGGUCCCCCACAUUGGAACUGAGACACGGUCCAAACUCCUACGGGAGGCAGCAGUGAGGAAUAUUGGUCAAUGGGCGAGAGCCUGAACCAGCCAAGUAGCGUGCAGGAUGACGGCCCUAUGGGUUGUAAACUGCUUUUGUAUGGGGAUAAAGUCAAUCACGUGUGAUUGUUUGCAGGUACCAUACGAAUAAGGACCGGCUAAUUCCGUG